AUGGUUGGCACAUCCGUAGCAUAUCGCUUGCUUAGUGUAGAGAAGGGGGGUCAGCAAAAUGUGGGCUGCACAAAGCGUGACCUCCAAAACUCUCACCGUGAUUUUAAAAGAGCAAUUAAGGGAGCAGAUGGACAGAUCAUAGUAGAUAUAAUGAGAAAUAAGCAGACUGCCAAUCCAGCAUUCUACUUUGUUUACCAAGUCGAUGAGAAUGACAAACUUAUAAAUAUUUUCUGGGCGGAUAGCAUAUGCAGAAAGAAUUACUCAUUGUUUGGUGAAGUUGUUUCUUUUGACUCAACAUACCGCUUUAAUAGGUAUAACUUGGUAUUUGCCCCUUUCACAGGAGUUAACAACGACAGAUCUUGUGUCACCUUUGGUGCUGCUUUUUUAUGGAAUGAGAAGAAAGAAUCUUAUAUAUGGUUGUUCAAGACUUUCUUGAAAGCAAUGUCUGGGGUUGCACCUAAGCUCAUCAUGACCGAUGAAGACCAAAUCAUGAGAAUAGGGAUAGAACAGGUUUUUCCAAACACUAUACAUAGGCUUUGUAUGUGGCACAUCCUCAUGAAGCUUACUGAA
rnacentral:rRNA from 1 species